rnacentral:rRNA from 1 species
AUUGAACGCUGGCGGCAGGCCUAACACGUGCAAGUCGAACGGUAACAGGAAACAGCUUGCUGUUUCGCUGACGAGUGGCGGACGGGUGAGUAAUGUCUGGGAAACUGCCUGAUGGAGGGGGAUAACUACUGGAAACGGUAGCUAAUACCGCAUAACGUCGCAAGACCAAAGAGGGGGACCUUCGGGCCUCUUGCCAUCGGAUGUGCCCAGAUGGGAUUAGCUAGUAGGUGGGGUAACGGCUCACCUAGGCGACGAUCCCUAGCUGGUCUGAGAGGAUGACCAGCCACACUGGAACUGAGACACGGUCCAGACUCCUACGGGAGGCAGCAGUGGGGAAUAUUGCACAAUGGGCGCAAGCCUGAUGCAGCCAUGCCGCGUGUAUGAAGAAGGCCUUCGGGUUGUAAAGUACUUUCAGCGGGGAGGAAGGGAGUAAAGUUAAUACCUUUGCUCAUUGACGUUACCCGCAGAAGAAGCACCGGCUAACUCCGUG